GUCCCAUUCCGAACCCGGAAGCUAAGGCCUGGCACGGCGAUGGUACUGCACCCGACAGGGUGUGGGAGAGUAGCACGCCGCCGCAUC
rnacentral:rRNA from 1 species